GACGAACGCUGGCGGCGUGCCUAACACAUGCAAGUCGAGCGAGUGAAUCUCCUUCGGGAGUGAAACUAGCGGCGGACGGGUGAGUAACACGUGGGCAACCUGCCUCAUAGAGGGGAAUAGCCUUUCGAAAGGAAGAUUAAUACCGCAUAAGAUUGUAGCUUCGCAUGAAGUAGCAAUUAAAGGAGUAAUCCGCUAUGAGAUGGGCCCGCGGCGCAUUAGCUAGUUGGUGAGGUAACGGCUCACCAAGGCGACGAUGCGUAGCCGACCUGAGAGGGUGAUCGGCCACAUUGGGACUGAGACACGGCCCAGACUCCUACGGGAGGCAGCAGUGGGGAAUAUUGCACAAUGGGGGAAACCCUGAUGCAGCAACGCCGCGUGAGUGAUGACGGCCUUCGGGUUGUAAAGCUCUGUCUUCAGGGAUGAUAAUGACGGUACCUGAGGAGGAAGCCACGGCUAACUACGUGCCAGCCGCCGCCGCAG
rnacentral:rRNA from 1 species